GCAUUUCUGAGGUUCAAAUGGGCAGCAAUGCAAACCAGACCCGGAUCCAGACACAGGAUCCAUCUUUUUAGGAGGCUUUUUGGCGCUAAAUAGUGGAGACCACUGCCAAAUGGGAAAACGACUACACACAGAGAAAGAAAGACCAGACUCAAUCAGGAAGUGGCAGCUUUUCAGCUGUGCCAGAGGAGCCGGGCAACUUCCUGGUC